AGCGAACGCUGGCGGCAGGCCUAACACAUGCAGGUCGAACGGACCCUUCGGGGUUAGUGGCGGACGGGUGAGUAACACGUGGGAACGUGCCUUUAGGUUCGGAAUAGCUCCUGGAAACGGGUGGUAAUGCCGAAUGUGCCCUUCGGGGGAAAGAUUUAUCGCCUUUAGAGCGGCCCGCGUCUGAUUAGCUAGUUGGUGAGGUAAUGGCUCACCAAGGCGACGAUCAGUAGCUGGUCUGAGAGGAUGACCAGCCACAUUGGGACUGAGACACGGCCCAAACUCCUACGGGAGGCAGCAGUGGGGAAUCUUGCGCAAUGGGCGAAAGCCUGACGCAGCCAUGCCGCGUGGAUGAUGAAGGUCUUAGGAUUGUAAAAUCCUUUCACCGGUGAAGAUAAUGACUGUAGCCGGAGAAGAAGCCCCGGCUAACUUCGUGCCAGCAGCCGCGGUAACAC
rnacentral:rRNA from 1 species